UACGUAGGGGGCAAGCGUUGUCCGGAUUUAUUGGGCGUAAAGAGCGUGUAGGCGGUUAGGUAGGUCCGUUGUGAAAACUCGAGGCUCAACCUCGAGACGCCGAUGGAAACCAUCUGACUAGAGUCCGGAAGAGGAGAGUGGAAUUCCUGGUGUAGCGGUGAAAUGCGCAGAUAUCAGGAAGAACACCCGUGGCUAAGGCGGCUCUCUAGUACGGUACUGACACUGAGGGACGAAAGCUAGGGGAGCGAAUGGG
rnacentral:rRNA from 1 species